AUUGAACGCUGGCGGCAGGCCUAACACAUGCAAGUCGAACGAGUGGCGGACGGGUGAGUAAUGUUUGGGAAUCUGGCUUAUGGAGGGGGAUAACUACGGGAAACUGUAGCUAAUACCGCAUACCAUAGGAUGAGCCCAGGUGGGAUUAGGUAGUUGGUGGGGUAAAGGCUCACCAAGCCGACGAUCUCUAGCUGGUCUGAGAGGAUGACCAGCCACACUGGGACUGAGACACGGUCCAGACUCCUACGGGAGGCAGCAGUGGGGAAUAUUGCGCAAUGGGGGCAACCCUGAUGCAGCCAUGCCGCGUGAAUGAAGAAGGCCUUCGGGUUGUAAAGUACUUUCGGUAGCGAGGCGUUACCCGCAGAAGAAGCACCGGCUAACUCCGUGCCAGCCGCCGCGGUAAUAC
rnacentral:rRNA from 1 species